AUGGGAACGCGAAGAACCUUACCUAGACUUGACAUCUCCUGAAUAGUGUAGAGAUACAUGAAGCCCUUCGGGGCGAGGAAGACAGGUGGUGCAUGGUUGUCGUCAGCUCGUGUCGUGAGAUGUUGGGUUAAGUCCCGCAACGAGCGCAACCCUUAUUACUAGUUGCUACCAUUAAGUUGAGCACUCUAGUGAGACUGCCCGGGGUUAACCGGGAGGAAGGCGGGAUGACGUCAAAUCAUCAUGCCCCUUAUGUCUAGGGCAACACACGUGCUACAAUGGUGAGUACAGAUAGAUGCGAUACCGCAAGGUGGAGCCAAACUCUAAAACUCAUCCCAGUUCGGAUUGUAGGCUGCAACUCGCCUACAUGAAGUUGGAGUUGCUAGUAAUCGCGAAUCAGAAUGUCGCGGUGAAUACGUUCCCGGGUCUUGUACACACCG
rnacentral:rRNA from 1 species